rnacentral:misc_RNA from 1 species
GGAUGUUAUGAUGACAAGAUUGGACAACAAAAUUCAUUUGCGGAAGAUAUUAACUUGAAUCAGGUGCCUGUACUCUUCAAAGGGCAAGAGAGUAUAUUGUUGAGGCGACCACCUGUCUCUCAUGCUUCUUCAUCUCAAGAAGGGUUAUCUGAGCUGGCUGCUGAUACAGUUGUCAGGGCGAAAAGUUCAAGUGGUGUUGAGGGUGGAAAUCUUGUGAGCCAAGGUUCUGACAGCACAGCUUCUGGCAAGACAGAUGUGCGUUUCCGAAGAACCUCAUCUUGUGGGGAUGCUGAUGUGUCAGAGCCAUCAUUUAUAGAUAUGCUUAAAAGUAAUGCCAAGAAGAACAUUGCUCCAGAGGCCCACAUGACAGCAGCAGGGUCAGAAUCAUCAGAUGGGACACAAGGCGGCCGAAGUGGCAAAAAGAAAGGUAAAAAAGGGAGGCAAAUUGAUCCUGCUCUCCUCGGUUUUAAAGUAACAAGUAAUCGUAUCAUGAUGGGUGAAAUUCAACGGAUCGAGGAUUAACCAUUUGAGUUUUGUAAUUUCUUUUGUAUAUUGCUCAUUUACAAGUUGUAUAGGCUCAAGGUACUCAAUGCCGAAGCAUUUAUAGAUUAUUUUCCCCCUUUCUCUUGGGUCAUUUUGCACCACCAUAGUGAUAAAUGAUGAUGAUACAAGGAUGGGUAAAAAUGCUUGUAAAUCCUGAUAUGGCGUUGGGUACAGUAACUGGAUCUUGUAUAGAUUAACAGUCAC